GAUCUGUAUCCGGCCUGAGAGGGCGCACGGACACACUGGAACUGAAACACGGUCCAGACUCCUACGGGAGGCAGCAGUGGGGAAUAUUGCACAAUGGGCGCAAGCCUGAUGCAGCCAUGCCGCGUGAAUGAUGAAGGCCUUAGGGUUGUAAAAUUCUUUCGCCAAGGAUGAUAAUGACAGUACUUGGUAAAGAAGCCCCGGCUAACUUCGUGCCAGCCGCCGCGGUAAUACGAAGGGGGCUAGCGUUGUUCGG
rnacentral:rRNA from 1 species